UAAGCGGAGGAAAAGAAACUAACAAGGAUUCCCCCAGUAACGGCGAGUGAAGCGGGAAGAGCUCAAGCUUAAAAUCUCCAUGUGUAAGCAUGGCGAAUUGUAGUCUAUAGAGGCUGUUGUCAGCACAGCGAUCUGGGAAAAGUCCCUUGGAAAAGGGCAGCACAGAGGGUGAUACUCCCGUCUUUGCUCAGAUCGUCUUGUGUGUACGAUACGCUUUCUUUGAGUCGAGUUGUUUGGGAAUACAGCUCAAAGUAGGUGGUAAAUUCCAUCUAAAGCUAAAUAUUGGUGCGAGACCGAUAGCGAACAAGUACCGUGAGGGAAAGAUGAAAAGAACUUUGAAAAGAGAGUUAAAGAGUACCUGAAACUGUUGAAAGGGAACCGUAUCGUUUCCAGUGUUAUAUCCUGUGCAUAUUUCAUUAGCGGAGCAAUUUGCUGGUGCCCUGUGCAUGGGUGUGACGUCAGAGUCAGUUUGUAUGCUGCGGGAGAUGGUCAGUGAGGAGGUGCUUCACUUCGGUGAAAGUUAUAUCUUGCUGUCUAGUAGCCGUGGUUGAGACUGAGGUGCCUACAACAUGCCUUGGGGUUCGGGGCUGUCUUGUUUUGGAAACUGCUUGGAUAGCUUGCUAUGUCUGUGGUUUUUCAGAGCAAUUGAUGGUGUCGAUAACCCCUGCUGUUCGGGACUCUGGCGAAAUGGAG
rnacentral:rRNA from 1 species